GCCCCACAGUAGAAGAAUCUUAGUGGAAGCUCUUUUAAAGCUAAAGAUUAUGCAUUAAUUGCGGCAUUUAGCAUGUUUAGAACUUCUAAUAGAUCCUAAUUAAGUCCCUGAUUCUCCUACCGACAAAAAAGGCAGCUCCCAUUUGGAGUUUUUUUGAAAAUGGGCAUCCCCACAUGAGUUCCGACAGGUGAAAAGGUGUUGAUGGGGGGUUUGAGAAAUUAAUGAAAGUUGAGUGGUGUGAAACGUGAAAUGGAGAAACUUUAGGGCUAGAUGGCAAAUCGUCGGCGCAAUCUACGGAAGAAGACAGGUGUUAGUGUGAUCUACUUUCCCACCAAUCCCAACCGUAUCCUUAUCCUGCCUACUUUCUUCUUUUCGGCUUCUCUCUCUAACGAGCCCUUUUCCAAUGGGCUUGGGCCUUUCUUUCAAGCCCAAGUUCUUAGCGUAAUUGAGAUUAAAUAUUGUAGAAACCAUAAAUAAAAAUUGAUUUACAUGUUUUUUUUUUAAA